AAUCUGCUGAGGACUUGUGACGCCCCUUAUAUUAUUAGCCUUAAAUACGUACUUGUGCGAUGUGGAUAACAACAGGAAUCUUCGAAACAAGUACCCCAUACAAACAUUGACGUAGAGUCAUUUAUAGUGAUUGACAGCCUAAUGGAGAAGCCCUUUCGCUGUAGUGGACCUGAUUGUUACACAAUCUAAUUAAAAUUAUAACCAUAAGGCUACAUUACUCAGCUCGACUAUUUACAUAGAUAUAUAAAUAUUAAUAAAAGACGGAUGACCAUUCAAACCAAUGUGAUGUUGAGUACAAACUGAAAGUCAUGUUAGACGGCUGAUAACUUCUUGGUUGGAUUUGGGGGCUAAUUUUAUGGUAACGAAUUAUUCUCCGCUUUUGAAUAUUUAUUCUUUUUAUGUGAUUUUUAUACUAGGAUAGUUCAAAAAUAAAAGACUUUGUUGGCCUACUGAUAUUCCUUUAAUGUUGGGGGGCUAUUGUUUGCUAGGUCAAGGAUCCUUAUUAAUACGUCGUAUAUAUCAAAAGUUCUCUGUUAUUGGAAUAUUUAUUCUGUGCGAAUGAAUUUCUACCAUGUUAAUAAAAGAAUGGGCAAUAAAUAA